GCAUUGGUGGUACAGUGGUGAAAUUCUUGCCUGCCACACAGCAUGCCUGGGUUCAAUUCCCAGUCAGUGUA
rnacentral:tRNA from 1 species